GCGGCUCGAGCUUGCAGGGGCUUGGGGCAGAUCCGGAGGCGGGGGUCGCCGGUGACGACGAGGAAGGCCUGAGCACGGGCGGAUCCAUGGCAUCCGCGGCUCCUCGGCACAAAGGAGACAGGGAGGCGAGGGAGAGAAGAAGGAAGAAAGGAGGGGUUGUGCAGCGACCUAGCGAGGAGCUCGCCGGAGCUGGGCGAAGGCGGACUGGCGCGGGAGACGGAGGGGUCCGGCGCGGCGGCGCGAAGUCCUUGCAGGUGGAGGCAGGCGUCGAAGCAGAGGACGAGAGGAUCCCCGGCCUAAUUGUGGCGUGCAGUCAGCUUCCCCGAUCCAUCCUCCUACCCAUCCGACCCUUCCUCGAUGGCCCGCGUGCGACGAGGCCCUACGCGGGGUAAGAAGGGGGAUCACGCGAGGUGGAGCACUCCAGCCCCCUCCUAGCCCUACCACGGUGAGGCCUCCUUUCCCUCUCUCCCUGCCUGAGCCAUAGGCUGGCGGCGCUGAGGUCGAUCUGCUCAUGCACACACGGUUGUUGUGACAUGGUGACAGCCACGCCCCACUUUUUCUUCCAGUUCCUUGUUUUUGUGGUGGAUGCAUCCAUGAUUAUUUGUUUCAACGAUUGAUUUUCAGUUUAGUCAAUCAAACCCAUUCCGAUGCUGCUCUUUUACUUGUACAAAUAAACUAUUGUUCACUAAACUGAGCAGCUAGCUACUGGUGUCUCAAAGAUUAAGCGCAGGUUGGUACUUAUGGGCAGGCCUGCCUCAAGUAGAGGAAGAAGAGGAGGCCUGAAAGAGAGAGGCCGCAAGGUAGAAGCCUUUUGAUUAGGAGGUAGUCCAGCAAGUUGGACGAACUGCUGAUAAAGAGAUAAUUCUAUUCUGAAUUUUUAUCUGAAAAGCAGGAUUGGAUCACGGAUGUAUGUUGGCUAUGUCUCUCACGGUGUGUGGAACCAGUUUGGUUCAUUUCAUCUUGUUUGUUGACAUUGAUGGUGUUGUCCAUUGGUUUAACAGAAAUUUUAUCUGAAAUUUUAUCUGAAAAGCAGGAUUGGUUAAUUUCAUCUUGUUUGUUGACAUUUAUGGUGUUGUCCAUUGGUUUAACAGAAAUUUGUUGAAGCUAAAGAUGAAGAGGAACUCGUGGAAGAGGAAAAGAAAUGACAUGGUAGAAAUUCAUUCACACAUAUCAGGGUCAUAGUGAGAGGAUUGAUCUGCUUGAUUUGCUCCUGAUGGUCGGUGGAUUGUUUCUGGUAGAGCUGAGAGUUCUGUGAAGGUAAGAUUUUGAUCCAGCCUAUUAAGCAGUACCACACAAAUUAUAGGAGAAUCUAUUGUUUGGUCCAACCUAUAAAGGUGCCAUAUAUGCUCAGUUGCUCACAACAGUGCUAAUAUUAACAAGGUGAAUAAACUCAUGCUCUAGCGGAGGAUAUCCUUUAUAUUUUGGGGGUCACUGAUUGUUGAUUUGACAGGUGGAAAGCUCUUGCAUGACUUUAGCUACCUGAAGGUCCGCUUAAACUGUUCAGGUUUUCUUCCCCAGGAGUUUUUACUAGCCACAUGUCAGAUGGUGAUAGUACGUUAUACAACCUAUACAAAAACAUAAGAUGUGUUCCCGGAUAACAUCUUUCCUCCAAAAUAAUUUACAUAUCAUCUAGACUUGGUUAGUUGUAACUUUUGCUUUCUGUUCUUUCCACAAGCUUCUGUAGGUUCAAAUUAUAAUUGUUAAAUUUUGGGACCUUAAGACUUUUUAGUUGAUUGCAUCCUCUAGACCGGGAGGUAUAAUAGCAUCUCCUAAUUGUCUAAUUGAUGAUUCAGAAAGCUCUGGCUCUACUCAUGUAUAUUCAGAUUGUGAAGUACUCCUUCUAUAAAGAAAUAUAGGAGCGUUUAGUUCUAUAAAACAUAUUUAUAUGCAGUUAUCCAACAAAUUUAUGUCCUAAAAUCUUACAACUUCUCUUAAGCUGUAUUUGAUCAUAACCUUGGCUUAAAUGGAAAUUAAUUUCAACCUCAAAUUUGGUGAUUUUUUGAAUGGGCACAACUGUGUCGGUAGAGGUUGACAGUUAUGAAUUUUGUGAUAAUCUUCGAUUAUACUGUUAUAUAUAGCACUUUCCUGUUAUAUGGUUCACAUUCUCUGAGCCAAUUCACAAUGACCAUUCCAAAUUUGGGCCUUGCGUUUUUAAAUUAUUUUGUAACAUUUUGGUUGAUCUUUGAUACUGCUCCUUAAUUUUUUACAUUGACUGGUGUAGAACUAAAUGAGUGUUGCCAUUCAAGGGAAGCCCCAAGCUUUAAAACACUAUAUGAAUGUUGUUAGCUCGGUCCUUCACAAAUAAGUCCCUUGAUGUGUGUCAUCUGUCAUUGCGUAUAACAUCUGGUCUUUCUAUUUUUCAUUGAUUUUUCUUCUCCUGGUGCACUGAAUCUGCAAGGGCGUGUAGACGGCAGGAUGAGCAGCAGCAUACCGGUGGUAAGACAGGGCGUGUUGGCGUACGCGAAGCAGCCAUGCAUGAAUCUUGGCGGCGGAUGCUUGCUGGCCGUAGUAGCAGCAUCAAUUCAAGCUGGGAGGCGGGAAGCUGGAGUAGCCGGAACGAUUGGUCGUCCAUUAGGCAUCAACCCAACUCCACCGUACUCCCUUUUCUUUCCAUAACCAAUUCUUUGGAGCAGACAUCAUUUACCCUGAUUAGUUAAAUGCCUAGCUGGUGAUAAGAGGAAGAGGAUGAUCAGGAAAGCAUGGAGUUGAGCGAAUCAGUACAGGAAGAAAGGUCGUUCAGGAAUAAAUAGUAGAGGAAGAAAGGGAGGAGCAGCACUGCAGCAGUCAAGGUUGGGCUUGGUGGCCUCGACGCCUAUGACCUCCUCUAUGCCAAGCCUCGCAUCACCCAGUUAUUAUGUUAUCUGCUUCCAUGCAUUUACUGGUGUAUAGAAAUAUGAUUAUCUGAUGUAUGACUUAGCUGAGUUCCCUCUUUAUGUAACAAGGCUCUCUUUUAAAGUUGUUCGCUGUCCUCAUUCCUCGUGAUCUCUGAAUCAGUAUUUAGUUGAUAACUGUGGCAACAAAGGAUCGUUUGCAAACAAGGUUCUCACCCCUUAUAUUUAUUUUGGCAUGGAAAAGCACUGUGAUUAAAUC